rnacentral:rRNA from 1 species
AUCGAACGCUGGCGGCAGGCCUAACACAUGCAAGUCGAGCGGAUGCAGCGAGCUUGCUCCUGGACUCAUCGGCGGACGGGUGAGUCAUGCCUAGGAAUUUGCCUGGUCGUGGGGGAUAACGUCCGGAAACCGGCGCUGAUAUCGCAUACGUCCUGAUGGCGAACGUGGGGGAUCUUCGGACUUCUCGCUAUGUGAUGAGCCUAGAUCGAGUUCACUAGUUGGGGGAGUAAUUGGUUUCCAAGGCGACGAACCGAAACUGGUCCUAGGGGAUGAUCAGGCACACUGGAAGAGAGACACAGUACAGACUCCGACGGGAGGCAGCAGUGGGGAAUAUUGGGCGAUGGGCGAGAGCCUGAUCCUGCGAAGCCGCGUGUGUGAAGAAGGUCUUCGGACGGUAGAGCACUGUAAGUUGGAGGGAAGGACAAUAAGUUAAUACCUUGCGGUUAUGACGUUACCAACAGAAUAAGCACCGGCUAACUUCGUG